UACAGAGGGUGCGAGCGUUACUCGGAAUUACUGGGCGUAAAGCGCGCGUAGGCGGCUUUGCAGGUCGGGUGUGAAAUCCCCAGGCUUAACCUGGGAACUGCAUUCGAGACUGCGUUGCUAGAGUAUGGGAGAGGGAAGUGGAAUUUCAGGUGUAGCGGUGAAAUGCGUAGAUAUCUGAAGGAACAUCAGUGGCGAAAGCGACUUCCUGGACCAAUACUGACGCUGAGGCGCGAAAGCUAGGGGAGCAAACAGG
rnacentral:rRNA from 1 species